rnacentral:lncRNA from 1 species
CCCACGGCUUCCCUGUUCUGCCCACUUAGUGAUGGGAGGAUGGCGCCUGGCCCAGGGCCAAGUGCCCAGACAUAGGACGGGCAGUGAGGGCUGCGCCUGCUAAUGUGGCUUUGUCCUUGACUCCUGUGUCCUGGCUGCAAGCCCAGGAAACUCGAGUGACAGAGCACUCCCAAGGUCAAGGUCAGCUCUCAUGAGGGCACAGAUGCCCUGGGAAGAGGAAGGUCUGCAGGGCUGGGAUCAGCUGCCCUGGCCACACCAUCCUGUGGCAUCUUAAGGUGGCAGUGAGUGGGCUAGGCCUGCAGGUCUCCAAACGCAGCUGAAGGGACACGGAGUCUGGGUCUGCGGGGGAUGGAGCUGAGCGCUGGGAUUUGGUGACCUGCAUUUCAACCCCGAUUUCUUCAUAGAGCACCUUCUCGCCACUGGAGACCCAGCACUCUGGGGCCCUGGGUGCCACCUUGGGACAGAAGGCAUUUCGGAUGGUUCCUGGUCCUGCUGGCUUCCUGCCUGGACUUCCACCACAUCGUGUGGUGGGGGUGGGGCGCCAGCCUCGGGCAAGCUCCAGGAAUGGCUCUGAGCCGCCCCCCACCCAUAUGCCUCAGGCUGCCUAGUCAUGGUGACAAUGACAACCAGAGAAGCUCAAGUGCAGCUAAAGAACAGGGUGGGAGGCCUCGCUGGCCGGGAGCCCAGAGGGUGUGGGAAGCUCCCAGCUCUGCCCUCGCCUGAGCGGCCUCUCCCUGAAGACAGGCGCCCUUCGCAAGCCACCUCCGCAGCCGGGGCGGAGGCCAGCGCAGCUCAUCCCCGCCCAGGUCCAGGUCACAGUGAGCAGGGGCAGGCACCAGGCUCCUCCUGCCACGCGGCUCCCCCGCCUGUCUUCCUGAGGUCCCCACUAGUUCACGGACCCCGUCUGCCUGUCAGCUCAGGCGACUUCCCUGGUCUGGCAGGAGGGAUUUUUACUACAGGCUGAGACACUUAA